rnacentral:misc_RNA from 1 species
AGUCGUAACAAGGUUUCCGUAGGUGAACCUGCGGAAGGAUCAUUAGUGAACGCCCUCACGGGCUUAUAACUAUUCCAAACCUCUGUGAACCGUGCCCUUCGGGGCUAUUUUACAAACAUGGUGUAAUGAACGUCAUAUAUCAUAACAAAACAAAACUUUCAACAACGGAUCUCUUGGCUCUCGCAUCGAUGAAGAACGCAGCGAAAUGCGAUAAGUAAUGUGAAUUGCAGAAUUCAGUGAAUCAUCGAAUCUUUGAACGCACCUUGCGCCCUCUGGUAUUCCGGAGGGCAUGCCUGUUUGAGUGUCAUGUAGACUCAAUCCCUCGGGUUUCCGAGGAGAUUGGACUUGGGUGUUGCCGCUCUGCCGGCUCGCCUUAAAAGACUUAGCGGGAUAGCACCGUAGUCGGCGUAAUAAGUUUCGUCGGUGAAGGUUGUGAUGACUGCUUACAAUCGCCCUCGGGCGAUUUUUGACUCUGACCUCAAAUCAGGUAGGACUACCCGCUGAACUUAAGCAUAUCAAUAAGCGGAGGAAAAGAAACUAACAAGGAUUCCCCUAGUAGCGGCGAGCGAAGCGGGAAGAGCUCAAAUUUGAAAGCUGGCGUCCUUCGGGCGUCCGCAUUGUAAUCUAUAGAGGCGUUUUCUGUGCUGGACCGUGUCCAAGUCCCUUGGA